GAUGAAGAACGUAGUGAAAUGCGAUAAGGAAUGUGAAUUGCAGAAUUCAGUGAAUCAUCGAAUCUUUGAACGCACAUUGCGCCCGCCAGUAUUCUGGCGGGCAUGCCUGUCUGAGCGUCAUUUCAACCCUCAAGCAACUUCUGCUUGGUGUUGGGGAUCGGCCGUCAAACGCCGCCCCCGAAAUCUAUUGGCGAUCUCGCUGUAGCUUCCUAUGCGUAGUAGUAACAUCUCGCAUCUGGAGAGCGGCGCGGUCAUGCCGUAAAACACCCAACUUCUCAGGUUGACCUCAGAUCAGGUAGGAAUACCCGCUGAACUUAAGCAUAUCAAUAAGCGGAGGA
rnacentral:misc_RNA from 1 species